rnacentral:rRNA from 1 species
AUUGAACGCUGGCGGCAGGCCUAACACAUGCAAGUCGAGCGGAGCGGCGGACGGGUGAGUAAUGCCUAGGACUCUGCCUGGUAGUGGGGGAUAACGUCCGGAAACGGGCGCUACUCCCGCAUACUAUCAGAUGAGCCUAGGUCGUGUUAGCUAGUUGGUGGUGUAAGGGCCUACAAAGGCGACGAUGCGUAACUGGUCUGAGAGGAUGAUCAGUCACACUGGAACUGAGACACGGUCCAGACUCCUACGGGAGGCAGCAGUGGGGAAUAUUGCACAAUGGGCGCAAGCCUGAUGCAGCCAUGCCGCGUGUGUGAAGAAGGCCUUCGGGUUGUAAAGCACUUUCAGCGGGGAGGCGUUACCCGCAGAAGAAGCACCGGCUAACUCCGUGCCAGCAGCCGCGGUAAUAC